AAAUUACCAAACAAACCUCCUUCCCCAAAGAAACACCCCCCAAAAUACCCCAACAACUCACCAAACAGAAAAUCACCGUCAACCAAAAAGCGGAAGUAACAAACGUGAACAGCAAGUGGAGGAAGAGUUUGAAAGCGGGAUGGACAGAAGCACAAGUGUUACUGCCCACUCUUAGGCCACUGUGCUGAUUCAAUGGGUGUUGUUAGGUUUAGAUUAGUAGUUUGUUGUUGUUGGGUUUUUCGGUGGUGUUGAUUUUUUUGUUGUCGUUGUGGGGGAUUGUUCGUUUGUUUGUUUUUAUUUUGUUUUUUUUUCUGUAUUAAAAAUCUGGCUCAGUUACUCUCUAGUUCUGGUGUGUUUUCUUUUCCAGGUGGUUGGUGUUCCUGCAGUGUUUGGCACAGGACCGGGUGAGUUUUUUACCCAGCUUUCUAAAGCUGUAGAUGAAUAGGAGAGACUGAAUGCACUCCCUUUAUUCACCUUUUCAGAGAGUAUCGUCCAGAAUACGAGCGCCUGAGAAAAACACUGGACAGUUCUCUGCAGGCACAGCUACACAGAGUUUGGCUUCCCGGUGCUGCUGAAAACGUCCUAGAAUCCCACCUGACUGGAGGUUGCUUUCCACGCUUAGUCAGAAGUUCUGUGUAACCUUAGUUGAAAUAAUCCACAUGUAAAUCUUUAUCUACAGGAGAAAGCUCAAAAUAAACAAAAGAGAGAGCAGCUGGAACACUUGUGGAAGGACAUGGGCAGCGUGUGUGUGCAGGGCAGCACACUGGCAGGACCUGAUGCUUCUGCAAUGGGUCCCUCUGAGCUAAUACUAACACGAGGAACUCUCGAUGAAGAGCAAGAAGAGAGGGAGAGUGACGCUGAUGGCAUUGACCAUGAAGGUAAGGGAAUGAGGUCUAAAAGCUGCCUCUCAAGAAAUCCCCUCUAUAUUUCAUGACCUGGAUGGACUGUAAGGAGAGCCUAGAAAACGAGCAAACAUUCAGUCACCUGACGUGUCAGAAUCUGUAGCAGAAGCUCCACUGCAAUGGUCAGCGCGGGGAUAUCACUCUGUAACCUUUGUGAAAGUUCAAUUGUAAAUUUUCUAUUCAAGUAAUUAAGAGGUGUAUAACACACAUAAACCAGAGAACUCGUUAGGCUUGGGGCAUGCAGUGACCUCUGAACCUGAUUGAUGCACAGAUGUGUCCAUCAUCUUUUUGGCCUUACAGUUUCUGCCCCUGGCUCUCUUCCCUUUUCUUGUGACUGUGGUCUUGGAGCAAUCUUCUAAGUUGUUACAGUGUGAUUUUUCUCUUAUAUAGCUCACAGACUUAAUCUUCAUUCUUUCCCUGUUCCGCUGAUGGGUAGGAUCACUUAUUUCCUUUGCCCUGUAAUGUAGUUGAAGAUGGAAUAGACUUUCUAUGUUGCUUUGGCUAUCCCGAUUCUAACUUUUUUUCAGAACCACAAGUAGAACAAGUACUGAAA